rnacentral:rRNA from 1 species
UACGUAGGGGGCAAGCGUUGUCCGGAUUUAUUGGGCGUAAAGAGCGUGUAGGCGGCUUUACAGGUCCGUUGUGAAAACUCGAGGCUCAACCUCGAGACGCCGGUGGAAACCGUAAAGCUAGAGUCCGGAAGAGGAGAGUGGAAUUCCUGGUGUAGCGGUGAAAUGCGUAGAUAUUGGGAGGAACACCAGUGGCGAAGGCGGCUCACUGGACCGGAACUGACGCUGAGGCGCGAAAGCGUGGGGAGCAAACGGG